ensembl:miRNA mdo-mir-1542-1 mdo-mir-1542-1
CCGGUGCCUGGCACAUAGGAGUUUCAUAAAUGUAUUUUCAUUAAUUUAUUGAUCUCCAAUGCCUAGCACAGU